rnacentral:miRNA from 1 species
GAAAGAGAGCGAGGAAAAAUGGGAGGGGCGAGAAAGCUAUUUCUUUCUUGCCCCUUCCAUUUUUCCUCGCUCUCUUUCUCUCC